AUCAGGAAGCAAGAUAGCAGAAAGCCAUUUCACCAAAGGUGAUGAAGAGAGUCUUGCUCCAGAACCCCUUUAGAAGUUAAAAAAUGAAAAGAAAAAGAGAUGGAGGUAACUUAAGGAAUAGGCCCUUUUCAGUGCUUGGACCAGUGUUGUGGAAUUCCCUCCACAAUGAAGUUUACUGAAUUUACAGUGCAAUACAGAUGAGAAGGAAGCUGCGUGGUGGACUUCUGGCAUUACCUUUACAAGGUGAGGAGGAGCUGUGUUGCAAUGGCUGUGCUGCAAAGGCAACUAUGAGACAGGACCUGCAGGCAGAGUUGUCACAAGAAUCCCCAUCAGUGCCUGAGCAAGAAUCCCAGCACCCAAAGCUUUGUUUGCUGAGAGAAACAUCUCAAAGACUUGGAGCAUCUGAAGCAAGACACAUGGGGCUUGAUGGGUGGUCCUUUGCAUUGUCAAACUGCAUGACUUGCCACUGAGUCUUCAUCCUCCCGCUUCACCUUCUCUGAUCUCAUCCCCCCAGUAGUAAGUGGGGGAGAAGGAAGCAGCAAUGAGGCAGGACUCAUCCCUUUGGCACCUGGUACAACCCUGCCCUUUCUUUCUGCUUCACGACUCUGCAAACACCACAAUAAGCAACGAGUUAAGACACAAAGGGGCUGGUCUAAGGGUGCUAUAUCUGUGCCAGAAAUAAGUGCACACUUUGCCUAUCUCCUAACAAGAGGCAAUUGAAAGUGAUAUGAAUCCUGAGGCUACAAGGUUGCCUUGGGCAAAGUUUGCUGUUUGUUACUAGGUCAUGCAGCUGCAAGAUGAGAAUGAAGAACAGAGGAAUUGCCUUGCUAGGUCAAACCAGAGGCUUGUCUAGUCCCAAACUCCAUAUCUAGCAGUGGCCUACUGUACCAUUUGGAGCAAACACUGAAUUAUGUUGUCUUCUGAUGCAGGCAGAACCUACCGUUUUCUAUAGUAAAAGUAUACCAAAUGUGUGUUAAUAGCAAUAAAACCUAAGCUACCUAA